ACUAAACAUGAAAAAUGUUUUAUAGAGAACUACGAAAUAGCCUACAUGUAGUGCGCAAGAUAGCCUAUUUUACAAGGCUUUUUGCUUCUAUGUGUCUGUAAUUAUCUUUCAUUUUUAUGUCAGUUGGGUGUGGGGUGCUAUACCCCUUUGAUGGGCUAGAUGGUUACAAGUAGAAGUUCAUCCAAGCAAUUACUGCUGGAUCGCAGCGAGAAACUGUGUGCCUCUGACAGGAAUUCGGCGCAGUUUAUUCUAUACCGCUUCCCCUUGAAUUUCACAUUUCCACGGUCUAAGACUGGCUUUAAUUACGCUACGAGUGCACAGCGGCUGUCUCAGCAGGAGACUGGAGUCAUGGAUGUACAGCUGGAGGCAGAUACUGGAGACAUGGGCCUGGAUGGGCUUAAUGAGCGUGGAAGCAGAGGGGACCACGACACACAGCCAGACCACAGCAGGGCCCCAGUGGACCAGUCAGAGACGACUUCUGAGGAGGCCCCAAGUUUGGAUAGAACGAAUCAAACGAGUUGUGAUUCCUCUUUGACUGGUGAAGUCACCACCAAUGAGGACACCAGUCCUACCUCUCAUGGUGUAUCUGACCUCACUCAAAGAACAGAAUUUACCACCUAUGAGAAGCGCCUUAAGCACGGCAGCAUCCAUUCUGGGCAUUUAACCAAUGGGGCUCCACCUAUCUGCACCCCACCAUCUCAGUCAACCGGCCGUCUGAGCUGGCCCCCACCGCAGUCCACCAAAAACAACGGUCAGGUUCAUCUGGACAAGAAGACUUCGCCAUCCACCUGCACAGCCAACAGCCAGCACAGCCUGAAGGCCACCACAUCCCAGAUCCAGCAGGUGGCUGGAGAUGAUUGCUGUGUGCAUUGUGUUCUGGCCUGCCUAUUCUGUGAGCUGUGGUCUCUGUGCUCCGUGAUGGUGCAGUGUCUGGCCUGUGGACGAGGCUGUGAAGCACUGUGCUGCUGUGGGAGCGAAGCCACAGGAGACGUGGCAUGUGGAGAUGAUGCUUGCUGUGAUGCAUUGGAUUGUGGGAUAUUGGAGGACUGCUGCGAGUCCUCCGACUGUCUGGAGAUCUGUCUCGAGUGUUGUUCCAUUUGCUUCCCAGCUUAGCUGUGACCCACUGUAAUGAUUAACUAUUGCUACACAGGUCCCGAAAAUCCACAUAUAUAUUUUUUUAUUUCAUAUUUGAUAGACUAUUAAAUAUAAUUUAAUUCUUUUGAAAUGAGUGGUGUCUCAUCCAGGGUGCCUGUGCUGUCUGGGAUAGGCUUUUAGGCCCCCCGGUGACCCUGACCAGGAUAAUUAAUUGGAUCGAUGGAUGGAUAGACUAUAGCUUUACCUUAACACUCAACCUGGCUACUCAUCACUGUCAAAUGAGACACGUAUCUCCAAUAAUCCAUUAUUUCAGGAGCGAAAAAACUAAUUCUCAUAGAAAUAACUUUAUAAAAUAAACCUAAAAGAACACAAUGAGACACCCUUAGUGACAGAAACAGAUAAUCAUUACACAGCCAUCAGUGAACUCUUUAAUGUUUUAAAUGGACUCACGUGGAUGAUUGGUAGCGAGGCAAAUAUACUCAUUGACAAAAAAAGUUAAGCACCCAGAAGUAAUGGUCUGAUUUGGAUGUAAUUUGGUACAUUUGCAGACCAGCGAUAGGUAUGUAAAUUAUUUGAUUUGCAAGGAGCUGGCAAGUCUAGUCACCAGACACAGAGGAUGCCUCGUAGACACAUUAGACAGCAUUACCAGCACUUGACGGAGUUUGAUAGGGGUGGCAUUGUGGGUUUGCAUGAGGCCAGGUGGUCGUAUCAUGCAAUUGCCCAGCAUGUGGGGCAUGCAGAUGUGACAGUCGCCCGAUGUUGGAACCAAUGGGCAGGUGAGGGAACCCACAUACGUGAAGGUUCAGGUCGCCCAAGACAGACCACACCAAGGGAGGAUCGUCGCCAAGCAUUACAGAACCCCAUGACAUUGGCACCUGCCACCCGGACACAGGUAUUGGACUCUCUACAACACCCCUUACCCCUCCUGAGACAGCACCCUGGUACAGUCUUUCAAUGAGACAAUGCCCAUCCACACAUGGCAUGUGUGUCUAUGGACUGCCUGCGUCAUGUUGAGGUCCUUCUGUGGCCAGCCAGCAGUGUGCCCAUACUGCCAACUCUGUUGUCCGUUUCAUCUGAUAUUAUAAUCACCCAGAAACAAACUAAUCUUGCUCUAUAUUCACAAUUAGAAAUUGUUAUUUAGCUAGUUAUCUAGCUAUUAACGUUAGAUUGUUAAAAUUAGUGAUAUAAAGUAAUCCAUAAAAAACGAUUAUUUAUACAAAUGAAUACAAACUAAAUAAAUACUAGUAAAAUAGAUGACUUCAUACGUCUUUUCAUUGGUCAGUUAGAUGUUAAAUGCUAUCAGUAGACAGAGGACAGUAUUCCAUGUUAUGUGCUUAUUUAAAAUUUUCUGCCAAGUUUUUUGCUGUCUGUCAUGUGGUGAUCUCUUAAUUAAAGUACUGCUGAAUGAACUGGAUCAAGACAUUUGAUCUGAAUUCUAUGGUUAGAUAUGAUUAUUGAGGAUGUCUCACAAGAGUAGAAUGCCAAACAAAUUAUUAAGUUAGUAGUGACCAGUUCUGUGCUCCCAUUUCCGUGCCAUAGACAUUUUCUGGAAAAAAUGGAUCCAACACGAGAAAUUAGAUUUUUGUGUUUCGUAUCCCAAAUGAUGAUUUCAGGUAAAUUGAUUGUAGUGCUGUUUGUCAUGCCACACAAGUCCAGCAUAUUUGGACAACAGUUAUAAUUUAUGCUAUAUUCUUCAUACAAACUUUAAUCAGACGUGGAGUCACAACAGCAACCAGCCAAACUCGUAUCCCAGAGUAAUUGUAAUACAGAAGGCAUUCUACACAAAAAUUACAUAAAGGCAAUUUUGUACUUCAAGAGGUGGAUUUUUUAACAGAGAAAUAACACUGAUUUAUAACAUAUAGGUUGUCUAUGAGGAGUGUUCUGGUCUAAAAUAAACACUGUAUAUUCUUGAUUGACUGUUUUUUACUAACCUCAGUCUUGCAUGAAUCCUUGGUGCACUGAAAAAUGUUGCACAAAUGAUGUUAAACUUCUCACUGAGAUCAAAAGCCAGGAAAUUAAGUAUUUCUUAGCUUUUCCCAGAAUAUUUAAGUAUCGUUUGCUGUAGUUUCAGUGAAGUGAAACCAUUAUUUUUAUCCAUUUCUUUGGUGUAGUUCUUUCUUUCUUUCUUGUUACCCCAGACUAUUAAAUGUCAUUUUUCAUCAUAAAAAAAUCAAUUUAAAUGUCAAUGUGAAGAUUGUAAAUAUGUUAACAACUAUGAUCCACAAUUAAAAAUAUUUUUAUAUGUUUAAAUGGGGGUUUUGUAUGCCUGCAUGUGCAUUACAGUGUCUGUAGUUAUUACGCAUCUGUCAGUGUUUGGGGGCUUUACUGAUGUGAUGGUGGAUGUCAGAGUCAAGCAAUAUAAAGAGCCGUUGUCUCACUCUCUCCCCUCCUUGGGCCCGUUUUGCAGAACUUCCAGUCCUCAGUGAAUGUGCAUUACAAAAACAAAAAAAUAUAUAUUAUAGGUUACUUUGGGUCUGCAGGCCUUUUGAUUUAUGUCAUGUCAAAAUAAUAAAAUAUUUUUCAUCCCA